rnacentral:lncRNA from 1 species
CAUUUGUUGACUGGGUUGAUACUAAUAGAGAAAAUGAUGCUGCAUACUUGAGUAUGCUAGAAGGAUGAGCAGGCAUAGGGUGGCUGGAGGUAGAGAUUUGAGGGAACCGGGCAGCCACGGAAGGCGGCUGAAAGACUUCUCUGGGGCUUUUGCCGAUGGCUGAUGACAUGGGAGUGCAGAGGGGUGGUCGGCUACUUCUACAGCACACUCUUCUUUUUACCUUUCUCUCUCUUUGACUUUCUUCCUCCUUUUUGUUUGCAAGUCAGGGUGUCCUCAUUAGAAGAUA